rnacentral:rRNA from 1 species
ACGCUGGCGGCAGGCCUAACACAUGCAAGUCGAGCGGUAGAGAGAAGCUUGCUUCUCUUGAGAGCGGCGGACGGGUGAGUAAUGCCUAGGAAUCUGCCUGGUAGUGGGGGAUAACGUCCGGAAACGGACGCUAAUACCGCAUACGUCCUACGGGAGAAAGCAGGGGACCUUCGGGCCUUGCGCUAUCAGAUGAGCCUAGGUCGGAUUAGCUAGUUGGUGGGGUAAUGGCUCACCAAGGCGACGAUCCGUAACUGGUCUGAGAGGAUGAUCAGUCACACUGGAACUGAGACACGGUCCAGACUCCUACGGGAGGCAGCAGUGGGGAAUAUUGGACAAUGGGCGAAAGCCUGAUCCAGCCAUGCCGCGUGUGUGAAGAAGGUCUUCGGAUUGUAAAGCACUUUAAGUUGGGAGGAAGGGCAGUAAAUUAAUACUUUGCUGUUUUGACGUUACCGACAGAAUAAGCACCGGCUAACUCUGUGCCAGCAGCCGCGGUAAUACAGAGGGUGCAAGCGUUAAUCGGAAUUACUGGGCGUAAAGCGCGCGUAGGUGGUUCGUUAAGUUGGAUGUGAAAUCCCCGGGCUCAACUUGGGAACUGCAUUCAAAACUGACGAGCUAGAGUAUGGUAGAGGGUGGUGGAAUUUCCUGUGUAGCGGUGAAAUGCGUAGAUAUAGGAAGGAACACCAGUGGCGAAGGCGACCACCUGGACUGAUACUGACACUGAGGUGCGAAAGCGUGGGGAGCAAAC